UUUCAGGUUCAGCUAGAAUAUUAACUGGUUCCUUGGCCCGGGUCAAAGCCCCUCCUCCAGCAAGCAAUGAACAAGAUCAUGAAGUCAAAUCCUGCUCUGUAUGUGCUGAGGGAGAGAAUAAGAAAGGGUCUUCAGUUGUAUUCAUCUGAACCCACCGAGCCAUAUGUGUCUUCACAGAACUACGGAGAGAUAUUCAGCAAUCAAAUCAUACGGCUUGUGGAUGACAUAAAUGUCUAUCGAGAUACCAUUCACAAAACCUUCGAGGGUAACCUGACGACCAAACCAAUCAAUGGCGCCAUCUUUAUUUUCAAUCCAAGAACUGGUCAACCAACUAUUUCUGAAGGUCAUCCCCACAAGUGUAUGGGCAGGACAAAAGCGUCUAGUUUCUCUGCAUAGUAAUCGCUCCAGUUUUCCUCAUUCUUAGAUUUAACUGAAUUUGCAUAGCCAUUCCGCCAUAGCAUGGAACUCACCGGCCAGAUGGUGACUUUGCCAGCGAAGAAUCUCCCAGAGCAUGAGUUCCUUGCUGAUAUGGAGCCACUGGGAUCCAGUUGAAUGAAGCUCCUCAGCUAUCACCUCAGAUUUGUCUCACUACCAUUUUCUAUCUUCAAAUCCAACCUUGUGAUUCUUAUCCAAAAUAAAAAUUAUAUAAGUAGCUGAAUUUCAGUGCACAAUUCUGUAAUGCCUGAUCAAGCAGAUUUAUGUCUUUCCAUGAGCGGCUAACUGUCUCUCCAGGGGAAUUCUGAAUGUGAAUAUUGAAAUGCAUUCUAUACAAAAUUCAAUCUUUCCAACUCACACUGCACUGUACAUACAAAUUUAUUACUGUUGCUUCUUUUGUUUCUUGCACAUUUUACAAGUUUUUUUUUGCCUGGGAUAGUUUCAGUGCCGAAAUUGAUUCUGUUGCUUUUGGCAAAUUCUGGUAAAUUUUUUUUGCCUGUGAUCCAGUGUCGCUACUGAUGUUAUUUCUUUCUUGCCACAUUCUGUUACGUUGUGCUUUUUUUGGGUAUGAUCCAGAGUCUCAUAUACUGAACUGUUUGUUCUGUUGUUCCUUUGCAGGAUUUGACAUGACAUGCUAAUAUUUUGGAGAAAAACAAGCAGUGGGAUGGUAAGAAGUGCAUCAUUUUGACCUGUCGGCGAACAUCUUGGGUCAGUGGUUAUGUUUGGGAGAAGAAGAAAACCUAUCAUGAUUUCUUUUUAGCUGGAUUAAGUUUACUAUGUCAGUGUUUGGUUACAUAUUUCUGUCAGUCAGUUCUGUGCCUGAGACCAAAUCAGUUGUUCUGGGCCUGGUCAAACCGCUAUUGCUUGAGCCAGGUCUGGGAUGGUGAUGCCUUGAAGAGUGUGGUCAAAGCAAGCCAGGACAUCACUCUCAUGGCCACAAAAAGGAGGCACCUGCUUGGCGAGAAGCUAGCGCCUAUGGCGAAAGUCUAAAUUCAGAAUAUAUGACUGGACUACUUGAGGCAUUAUCGUAGUUUUUUACUGGCAGUAGUUCAACAAUUUACAGCUAGCAUUUUAAGAAAGAGUAUUUGUAUGUCUGCAUCUUCAGCCCUGUUUCUUCUGUUUUAUGUCAAUGCAAGAUCUUACAAUUUUAAAUGAGGCAAUUGACGCAUACUUUCGAUUUCCUUAAGGAGGUAUGCAAAAUUUGUCAUGUCCAAGUUGAAAUGAAACAAUGCCUUUCACUUA